rnacentral:misc_RNA from 1 species
GCAAACUUGGUCAUUUAGAGGAAGUAAAAGUCGUAACAAGGUUUCCGUAGGUGAACCUGCGGAAGGAUCAUUACAAAAUUCUCGGUGGCACAGCCGGUUACGGCCUGCGCCCCCGCUGGAAGCGCCGGGUAGGCGUCUAACAGCGUAACCCUUUGUGAAAUCCCCCCGUUGCUUCGGCAGCCCCUCCCAGGAGCGGUAAGCCUGCCGUCAGCAUCACGGAAACUCAAUCUGAAAACUUGCACCCCCUGUCUGAACGGCGCAGUCGAAUGACUAUAAAACUUUCAACAACGGAUCUCUUGGUUCCCGCAUCGAUGAAGAACGCAGC